CAAUAGCGUAUAUUAAAGUUGUUGCGGUUAAAAAGCUCGUAGUUGGAUUUCGGCGGACAGGGGGCGGUUCGAUAUUUGUCGCUACUGCCCCAUUUGUCCGUGUUUUUGGCGGAGGUUUCAGGGUGCUCUUCACCGAGUGUCCUGGGAUGACGUCAGGUUUACUUUGAAAAAAUUAGAGUGCUCAAAGCAGGCUUUACACGCUUGAAUAUUCGUGCAUGGAAUAAUGGAAUAGGACGUCGUUUCUAUUUUGUUGGUUUUCGGAAAUCGACGUAAUGAUUAACAGGGACAGUCGGGGGCAUUAGUAUUCAGACGACAGAGGUGAAAUUCUUGGACCGUCUGAAGACUAACUACUGCGAAAGCAUUUGCCAAGAAUGUUUUCAUUAA
rnacentral:rRNA from 1 species